GGGUUGCAGUGAACAUGAGUGCAUGUGUCUUUAUAAUAGAAUCACUUAUAUUCAUUUGGAUCUAUACCAGUAAUGGGAUUGCUGGUAAAAUGUUAUAUCUGUUUUUAAAGUUAGAAUUUGUUUACUAUGAACCACUCAAAAUACUUUAAUUUGCGCAUGCGUGCACGCGCGCACACACACACACACACACACACACACACACACACACACCAUUACUUAGAUAAUCUAAGCAUUGUGUCUUGGUAUUCUCAGAUGUAAAAUAAACUAUUGUGAGAAUUUAAUGAAUUAAAGUAUUUAGAGUGGCAUUUGGUUCAUAGCAAAACUCAAUAAAGUUUAGCUGUCACCUUCAUCAUCACAUUCAUCAUUUUUAUCACCAUCAUCAUCACCAUGAUCGUUAUCAACCUCAUCUGCCAGUUUUUAACCCCACUGCCAUAGGUGCCACUCCAAAUACUUUAAUUUGAUUUUUAAAUUCAGUGCUUGUAACAAAUGGAAAAAAAAAACAGCCAUGAUUUUCUUCUAAAAGAUUUUUAAACAAAAAUUAUAUAAGUAAUUAUAAAAACAGAAGACUGUUCAUAGAUCUUGAUCUAGGUAUAAACUUAAAAAGAUCCAGAAAAAUUUCACUUCUCAGCUUUGUUAGUCUUAUUUAUUUAACAAUCCCUGACUUUGUUCAUUGUUUGCGAAAUCUAUCUCGGCUUCCUUUAUUUCACACCAAACUGGUUUUGUGCAAUUGCCAUUUCACAUGAACAUCUGGAUUUUUUUUUCUCUUGUGCUUGUGUACAUUUGGAGAAAGAUAGUAAUUUUCAUCCAAAUUUAUUCUACUUUCCUCAGGUUUAUUCUCAGCCAUCAGAGGAAUGUUAACUGUACAUGUUCAUAAUGAUUUUUUAAAUUCUAAAAAAGAUCUAUGUCUGCUAGGAAGAGAAAUAUCCUUUAAUUUGUCAACGUGAUCCUUCUAGAGGAGUCAGUAGUAUUUUUUUUUUUUUUGGUAUGAUCUUCCUUCACCAUUCACAGACUUCUAGAAUCACAGCUUUAUAUGCUGGUUAAUUCUACCAUAUAGAUGCAUAUAUAGUAAGAUGGAGGCAUUUCUCUCAAGUUCCUUUAACACUCUCUGUUUCUUUGAUAUUUUUCUUAGUCAUUGCUGCACUUCUGACAAGUCUAGAGAGUUGUCUUUUUGUUUAUUGUCAAAUAGAUGAAGAGUAUAGUUAAGAUAUUAUAUUUCAACAAUUUAAAAAACUAUAAUGCAGUCUGUAACUUUAGGUGUAUCACUUUAGAAAAAUCUCUUUAUUCUUGUUCCUUUAGAAAUACCUUGAACAAUUACAAACUCUUCUGGAUUGAUGAUUGCCCAUUUUGCUACUUAAACACUAAAUUUGGUCACUUAAACUGAUGGAAUUGGAAUAUGGUAUCAUUAGAUAUCUAUUGCAACUCAGAAACCAAUUUCUUCUAAUGUGCUCCUCCAAGGGCUUCAUUUAUAUUGUCUGAUUCAUCCUUACAUCCCCAUGACAUAAAAGAAGGGCAGGCAUCAUGUUAUCCCCAUUUGCCAAUUGAGGAAUCUGCGAGCAGAAAACAGAGGCACUGGCCUCUAGUUACACACUGUGUCAGAGGCAGGAGUAGGCAAAGAUACUACUUUUGUUCACUGCCAAUCCACCCUUCAUUAGUCACUAGCCUCCUUAUUUCUUAAGGUGUAGGCCAUUAGACGAUUGAUCUUGUCGGGAAAAUAACAUCUGUUUUAAAACUCGAUGCCUUUUACAAGUUUAUAUGCCUUGAUGUAAUUUUAAUAGGUGCAUCAUUGCCUGCUUUUCUUUAUGAGAGAUGAUAUAAAUGUGAAAAAAUACACUUGCAGAAAUGAAAUGAAAAUAAUAAAUAAAGCCCUCUUCCAUUUCCAUUAUUCUAAGUCAUGCUGCUUGAGACUUCAAUCUCAAUAUGAUGUUAAUAGAACCAUUAGAUAUGAUUCAUACCAUACAUAAGACAUUUCUAUUGACAAUUUCAUCUUGACCAAGGGUCAAUGGAUCCAUUACAAUGCAAAUCUUACUAUAUACUUUCCAUCUAAAUCAAAAGAAUUUGGUCUUGUGUCCACUCUAAUAUGUUUCAUGAAGUAGAAUCUAAUCUCAGACAUGAAGUACACAUCUGUUUCUCAUACUAAAUCAUGCCUGUUCCUAUUUGCUCUCAAUUUAAAAAAUAAUUAAUUAUGUUUUACAUCAAUAGACUACUCUGGGGUAUUUAAAGAAAUGCCUAGGGUUUAUGAGAAUCCAAGUUUGCCCCUUUAAUACAUACCAACCUGUAAGGAAAAUUCAUUCGUGGACGUGAGUCUCUUAAUUUUGGGGGGUGCAUAUAUAGCUAUUCUACAUAUUUGGUAAGAUACACAGAAUCAGGACAUAUUCCGAAAGAUUACCUAACUCAGUCUUGUAAAGUACAGGAAUGAACUGAGGUUUCAAUCAGUGUUUCAGAUAAGCAGAAGAAUGUCUCAUUAGGCACAGGAUUUUUUUUAAACUUUCGCUUUUCCCCACACUAUGUCUACUUUUUUUUUUCUUCAUCUCUUAUUCCCUCACUUUUGGGCUUCUUUCAGAAUCCUCCUCUAUUCAGUAUUCUAGGUAGCUUAUGAAUUGUAAUCUAACCUUGAUAUGGACAAUCAUUGAGCCCAUUUCUGGCCACCUUUAAGUUUCAGGGCUGUCCUGAUCUCCUGUUCUCUCUUCCCUUUCCUUGUCUGUAUUAUUUUUCUUCUUGAGCUGAGCUGCUGCUUCUCUCUAUUUGUGCACCACAACAGAAGGUGCUUCCUGCUACAGAUGAGGUUAAAGGCGCUGAGGAGGAGCUGAACAAGACCCUACGCAAAGGCCUUUUCUCCCCUAGGUUCCAUGACACUGCAUCCGUACUCUGGUCUCACCACACUCCUCCAUCUUCCUUUCUUCUUUCUUGGAAAGUUGGUGAUGAACUUUGAACCAGGAAGGGGUUCUGUAUAAAUCCCUGAUCUACUAAUCCUCGCUGUGUGAUCUUGGGCAAAUCCUUUAAUCUUGCCUAGUCCUCAGUUUUGUCAUCCAUAAAAUAUUGAUAAUAAUUACCAACAUCAGAAGACUGUUGUGAGAAUGAAAUUAAGUGAUUUAUGUAAGGGUCAUAAUGCCCAGCUCAAAGUAGGUAUUCAAGCAUGUUGUUGCCUUACUCCCUCUUUACUCUCUCUUUUUAUUUUUUCCAAUUUCUCUCCAAAAUAUUUGAUUGUGUGAAACAAAAAAGGUUGAUUCUUUUCAAGCUUACCACUAUCCAAUUACAUAGCUACAAACUGAUGAGGUUUUCCAGUAUUUAUUCCUUUCAAAGCGAUUUACUUCUUGUGGGUUAUCAAUAGCUAAACAUAUUUUUUCCUCUUUCAGUUAUGAAAGACAUUCUCAGACUUGCAAAGCUUUAAUUUUUUGUUCAAGACAUUGAAAUAUAAAAGUUCAGGGAUUAUUCAAUGAUGUUAACUACUGAAUGUACACAGAAAAGAUCUUAGUUGCAAUCUAGUUUGUGUGCCUGUUCAAACAUGCCCAGGACUCCCAAGUUCAAAGGUUCUCUCUACACGUAAGUGGUAGUCAAAAGUAUGAGUCGUUUUAUUGCUGGCAGCCUUAAUUUAUAAAUGGAAAACAUCUAAAGCUGCAAAGUACAAUAGUCCAGAAACUUUUCCUUUGCAAUCCAGUUCUUGGACAUCACAGGGAAACUCAGCAGAAAGAAAUGUAAAACGGAGUAAAUGGAACUAUUCAGUGAUGAGCACACCAGCAGUCUCUGUAAUACUCGGGAAACCCGCCAGUUGCCUGAUGCUUAUUCCCAGCCCUUGGAUAAGGGAGCAGAACGUGUCUUCCUUGGAAUCUUGAGACAACAUCACUGCAAGCAAGAAGCAGACAUCUAUUGCUAAUCUAGAGUCUCAAGUGGAAUUUUCGUAUCUACUCCUUUUCCCCUUUCUGGCCACAGCUCUUGGUAGGUUUAGCAACAAUUCAGAGAGCCUGGUAGAAUGUAGGAAGACCACAGGUUUGGCCAGGGCGUAGCCCAUCUAUAGAAACGGUAGCCAGAGCUUAGUAUCUCCAGCUAUAUUGUAUGUUUGUAAUAAUUAGCUUCCCAUAAAACAAUUUGUCUUCUAGAUAGCUUGCUACUACAGUGUUCACAGCUUGUGUGUGAUAGGUUUUUUAUAAUAUCGCUGAGCAUCUUAUAUAAAUUAAGUAGGAAUAUAAUGUUUGAUUGCUACCAGAUCUGGUUUCAUAUCCUGUGUUGGUAUAAAAAAUAGGUUUUGUAAUUUUUUUUAUCCUAACUAAUGAAUAAUUUCCUUACACUAUAGUGAAAAUCCAGGUCUCUGAACCAAUUAAAAGAAAGAUGAAAUUUCAUGUACACAUACGCUGUGUUAAAAUGUUCGUUUAUGAGUGACUAGUCUUAUCAACAUGGGUAACUGAUGUAGAAAAAAAUAUUCAAAUAUACAGGAAAGAAGGCAUUGUCUUCUGUCCUAAACCCAGCCGACUUAACACAUGCAAUGCAGGCAGAAAGGAAAUCAGCAUAAAUAAACCAUGCAUUCCCAAUUGAAUCUCAAUAAUUUAAACAUAAAUCCUUUAGGCUUUGAUACCUUUUCUCCACAUGGGCUUUUCUUUUGGAUUUGGCGCUCCUGGCAUCAUGUAGAAUUCAUCUGCGAGCCACAGGUAAAUACAGUUUCCAUAACCCUUUAAUAAACAGUCCGCUUUGAGGUUAUGUUCCAUAAUUUAAGAAAUUCCAACGAAAACAUGGUUGGUAAGGAGUUUUACAAGAUGUGUGUGUGUAUCAAUAUAUUUGCCUAUAAAAAGGAACCAACAUUUUAAAGCAUAAAUUACCAACUUUCCUACAUACACCAUGCACAAGGGAGGGACAUCUAUAAUACAUGUAUUUCUGAGACGGACAACAAGCAAGGAUGAAUUGCUAAUAUUCUGCUUACCAUGUAUUGGAAAAGUCUCCACGGUUUUCAGGAAAUGUGGUGAGAAAAACUUUUCUCUGUUCUGAUGUAUUUUCUCUCUAAUUAUAAUUUGGCAUCUAGAAUUUUUUAUUUCUUUUAAAAAUAAACUAAACUGCAUAGCAAACUAUAUUGAUUUUAGUUUUCAAAAGCCCUCUAAUUAAAAUAGCAACUUAACAGCAAAUGGCCAUGAAGUAUUUCAAAAUAAAAAAUGAUGAUGUAAAUUGAACGUGUCAA